rnacentral:rRNA from 1 species
UACGAAGGGGGGCUAGCGUUGUUCGGAAUUACUGGGCGUAAAGCGCACGUAGGCGGUGUUCUUUGUCAGAGGUGAAAGCCCGGGGGCUCAACUCCGGAAUUGCCUUUGAAACGGGAACGCUAGAGUCCGAGAGAGGAUGGCGGAAUUCCUAGUGUAGAGGUGAAAUUCGUAGAUAUUAGGAAGAACACCAGUGGCGAAGGCGGCCAUCUGGCUCGGUACUGACGCUCAGGUGCGAAAGCGUGGGGAGCAAACAGG